AUGUGCCUACGGGGCGCAGCAGUGGGGAAUAUUGGGCAAUGGGCGCAAGCCUGACCCAGCAACGCCGCGUGAAGGAAGAAGGCUUUCGGGUCGUAAACCUCUUUUGCCGGGGAGCAAGGGCGGGGACGUGUCCCGGCCCGGAGAGUACCCGGAGAAAAAGCAUCGGCUAACUCCGUGCCAGCAGCCGCGGUAAUACGGAGGAUGCGAGCGUUAUCCGGAUUUAUUGGGUUUAAAGGGUGCGUAGGCGGGCUUUUAAGUCAGCGGUAAAAAUUCGGGGCUCAACCCCGUCCGGCCGUUGAAACUGG
rnacentral:rRNA from 1 species